rnacentral:rRNA from 1 species
CACGUAGGGGGCAAGCGUUGUCCGGAUUUAUUGGGCGUAAAGAGCUCGUAGGCUGUUCGAUAAGUCGGGUGUGAAACCUCCAGGCUCAACCUGGAGACGCCACCCGAUACUGUCAUGACUAGAGUCCGGUAGGGGAGCGUGGAAUUCCUGGUGUAGCGGUGAAAUGCGCAGAUAUCAGGAAGAACACCUAUGGCGAAGGCAGCUCUCUGGGACGGUACUGACGCUGAGACGCGAAAGCGUGGGGAGCGAACAGG